rnacentral:RNase_P_RNA from 1 species
UAAGUCAGCCGGGUGGUCGCUGAGUGGGUAACCACUUAGAGGAAAGUCCGGGCAUCAUAAGAAGUAAAGGGCAUCGUACAGGCUAACGGCCUGGCGCCGAGAGGCGACGGAAAGUGCAACAGAAAGAAUGUACAGAGACGUAGGGGUGCAAUUUAUUGCACCCUCAAAUCUGCUGUAGUGAAAUCCGGUAAACCCUACGAGAUGCAAAACCAAAUAGGUGGGUGCCGAAACGGCCCGUUUCAUGUUUGCCUAAAGCAAAUGCAUCCAUGGGUAGGUUGCUUGAGGUGUUUAGUAAUAAACAUCCCAGAGGAAUGACCACCUCUCCGCCUUUGGCGGAAAGACAGAACCCGGCUUACAGGCUGACUUAAAUU